UAUGUGAUCGUCUCUCGCAUAUCAAUAAGCGGAGGAAAAGAAACUAACAAGGAUUCCCCUAGUAACGGCGAGUGAAGCGGGAAGAGCUCAAAUUUGAAAUCUUAAAGGGUUUCCCUUUACGAAUUGUAGUUUAAAGAAGUGUUUUCUGUUGAGGUUUUGGUAAAAGUUCUUUGGAAUAGGACAUCAUAGAGGGUGAGAAUCCCGUAUUUGACCUUUACUUUCAACUUUGUGAUACACUUUCAAAGAGUCGGAUUGUUUGGGAAUGCAGUCCAAAAUGGGUGGUAAAUUUCAUCUAAAGCUAAAUAUUGGCGAGAGACCGAUAGCGAACAAGUACCGUGAGGGAAAGAUGAAAAGAACUUUGAAAAGAGAGUUAAACAGUACGUGAAAUUGUCAAAAGGGAAGCGUUUGACACCAGUGUUGUUUUUCUGAAAAUCAAUUAAAGAACUGUUUAUGCUAAGUUGUUUAGACUUUAUCAGCUAUCUGUUUAGUUUUGAGCUUUUCUUUAAUGCACUUUUCAGUUAACAAGUCAACAUCAAUUUCUUUUGCUGUAAAAAAGCUUGAGGAAGGUGGCUUGAGAUUCGUCUUAAGUGUUUAUAGCCUCUUGCCUAUGCAGUCGGAGAGAUUGAGGUCUGCAGCGUAGAUCCUCCGGGGCUAAAUGCAUUUGUGCUAAGUUAUAGCAUUUUAUAGACAACUUGUUGACUAUGAUUUGUCUUGUAGCUUACUCGCUUAUGUUAUUUUACCUACGCUUAGGAUGUUGAUCUACAGAGCGAGAGU
rnacentral:rRNA from 1 species